rnacentral:ncRNA from 5 species
GGCUUGGCAGAAUCAGCGGGGAAA